rnacentral:rRNA from 1 species
ACUCAAAUGAAUUGACGGGGGCCCGCACAAGCGGCGGAGCAUGUGGCUUAAUUCGACGCGACGCGAAGAACCUUACCAGGGCUUGACAUGCGGGAUGAACGCUGUGAAAGCAGCUGCCCUUCGGGGCCCGCACAGGUGGUGCAUGGCUGUCGUCAGCUCGUGCCGUGAGGUGUUGCCUUAAGUGGCGCAACGAGCGCAACCCCUGUCCUUAGUUGCCAUCGGGUCAUGCCGGGAACUCUAGGGAGACUGCCGGUGCCAAACCGGAGGAAGGUGGGGAUGACGUCAAGUCAUCAUGCCCCUUAUGUCCUGGGCUGCACACAUGCUACAAUGCGCGGUACAGAGGGCUGCGAUCCCGCAAGGGGGAGCGAAUCCCAAAAAGCCGCGCUCAGUUCGGAUCGGGGUCUGCAACUCGACCCCGUGAAGUCGGAGUCGCUAGUAAUCGCGGAUCAGCAACGCCGCGGUGAAUACGUUCCCGGGCCUUGUACACACCGCCCGU